GGGAGAGGGGGAGGGGCUGCUGAGGAAGGCCACAGGGGCUAAGGAGGAUUUCCUCAGAGCUUUUGGGAAGCUAUACGUUCCUGGCCCCGAGGUAAAGCUCCCACAGGCUGCUUGACCCAACAGAGCAGCUCCUACCCACUGGGAUUCUCGGUCUGCAGGAAUCUGGCAUCCACCUGGGGAGCAUCUGGCUGAGGCAGCCUGGAGACAGGCACGCACCAGAAGACUUCUGGUUCCAUCCAGGCCCAAGGACCACUGAACUGGAGCGGUCUUCUCCAUCCCCCAGCAAGCCUGUGCGUGAGCUGGGGACAAGGGGCAGAGGAGGCAGAGGUCCCCCUCACACCAGGAAGGGAACAGCGCCACUAAAGGGCCUGGUGGAGGCAGGGUGGAGGUGGAAGGAGACUCAGCAGAAGGGAUGAGGAAACUGAGGCUGAGAGGGUAGAGAACUUUGCCUGAGGUCACUCAGCAGGGACCCACCCAUCACAGUAAAUGCCAGCACUGCUGAUGCCAAAACAAUGUUAUUUGUAGGCCCUCGGAAUUUGUGACCUGAAGGAAGAAGAGCAGGGCCGUGGGAAGUAUGUAACCAGUGUCAUGCCCCUGGUCCCAAGGAAGCAGUGGCUUGGUAAAGAGGGGACCCCCGUCAAUAACUCCCUGUAAUUACUGGGCACCCACUCUGAGCUCCUCAGUGGAAUCCUAAGGUUAAUAAGACUGUCUCUAGCCACUGGGGCUCCCAGCCUGGAGUGAGGCCUGAACACCCUGUCCUACCUGGUCCUACCUGGAUGCUGGCCUCAGUAAGCUCCUGGGCUCAUUGAAGAUGAACCUAGCAGUAGUAUUUACACCACUUGUUGUGUGCCCACUGUGGGCCCGGCGCCAUGCCGAGUGCUCUAUGGAUGUGAGAUGAGAACACUGAAGCAGUUUUUUCUAAAGAUAGCUGCCUGGCACAGUGGCUCACAUCUGUAGUCCCAGCAUUUGGGGAGGCCAAGGCAGGUGGAUCACUUGAGGCCAGGAAUUCAAGACCAGCAUGGCCAACAUGUGCUGGGAGAGAAAAGCAUACGACAUAGACAGGGAGGUCAAGCUCCACCACGCAGAUGAGGUGCAGGCCACCAGUCUUCCUCUGCCACAUCUCUUUCUGAAAAGGACUUCACAUUCACCCUUGCAAUCCAUGUGGGGACACUGUUGGAUAGGAGGCGUGGUCCCAGCGUGGUCUCCCUGUCUGGGCCUCUGCCUAUGCCAAAUGUUUGCCUUACGCUGCACACUCAAGAGGUUCCAUGUAUACAGAUGGGAAUUCCAGAGCUACAGAAAAGGCAGCAAGCACCAUGAUUUAAGCUAACCAGUGUGGAUUCACACCUUCCUCUCUCUCUAUCAGUGGCAGAACUACCAGCUAGAGUAAGAAGUGGUUGAUCCAGGACCUAAACAUUCUGGAAACUCUUGCCCACUUCUGGGAGAAAUGACCCAAUCCAUAGUACUAAGCACACCUUAACUUUCGUAGGACGCAGGCAAGUUGUCAUACCGUGUGCCUAAAUAUAGAAAAAUGAUCCACUGGACUAAUAAAGUGUUAAAUAAAA
ensembl:lncRNA LINC02395 long intergenic non-protein coding RNA 2395